rnacentral:lncRNA from 1 species
CGGGGCUCGUCAAAGGGCGGGGUUUAGAGUCCCCGAGGCUACACAGCCAAAGCCCGGGGGCUGGCCUAGCCAAAAGGGGCGGGCGAGCACGGCCCGCGGGCGGCGUUCGCUGGAGCUGGUGGACCGGGCGGCUGACCGAGGGGCGGACGCGCGGCGGGGCAGACCGCUGGGGACUGCGGGCGGCGCUGUGUCCGUCGCCAUGACAGAUCAGACCUAUUGUGACCGCCUGGUGCAGGACACGC